rnacentral:rRNA from 1 species
GUGGGGAAUCUUGCGCAAUGGGCGAAAGCCUGACGCAGCCAUGCUGCGUGAAUGAUGAAGGUCUUAGGAUUGUAAAAUUCUUUCACCGGGGACGAUAAUGACGGUACCCGGAGAAGAAGCCCCGGCUAACUUCGUGCCAGCAGCCGCGGUAAUACGAAGGGGGCUAGCGUUGCUCGGAAUUACUGGGCGUAAAGGGCGCGUAGGCGGACAGUUUAGUCAGAGGUGAAAGCCCAGGGCUCAACCUUGGAAUUGCCUUUGAUACUGGCUGUCUUGAGUACGGGAGAGGUGAGUGGAACUCCGAGUGUAGAGGUGAAAUUCGUAGAUAUUCGGAAGAACACCAGUGGCGAAGGCGACUCACUGGCCCGUUACUGACGCUGAGGCGCGAAAGCGUGGGGAGCAAACAGGAUUAGAAACCCGGGUAGUCC